CCGGUUUAAACUCAGAUCAUGUAAAGCUUAAAAGGUCGAACAGACCUAGCUUAUCAGCUUYUACMCCAAUAAUUAACUUUAAUCCAACAUCGAGGUCGCAAUCCUUUUUUUCAAUAAGAACUCUAAAAAAAAUUACGCUGUUAUCCCUAAGGUAAUUUAUUCUUUUAAUCUCAAUCUAAGGAUCACAUACCUAUGCAUCUAUAUAAAAAUAAAAAAAAGUUAUUUCAAUUUUUUUAUCACCCCAAUAAAAUUAAUACAAACAAAUUUAAAUUUAAAUUCCCAAUUUCAAAUAUUAUUAUAUUAAUAAAACUCUAUAGGGUCUUCUCGUCUUUCAUAAAAAUUUAAGCUUUUUCACUUAAAAAUAAAAUUUUAAUAAACUUUGCUAGAGACAGAUAAUUUUUCAUCAAACCAUUCAUACAAGCUUUUAAUUAAAAAACUAGUGACUAUGCUACCUUUGCACGGUCAAUAUACCGCGGCCAUUCAAUUACUUCAGUGGGCAGGUCAAACUUGAAAUCAUUUUCA
rnacentral:rRNA from 1 species